AACUUUGGCAUAGAAAAGAAAACAUCAAAAGGGAAGUCAAGCUCUUUUCCUCAGCAGGACCGCAGCAGGAGCAGCUGUGGUGCUAGUCUCUUUGAGCUGUCCAACUCCAUUCUUGUCGCCGCAGCGACACCUGCACUCGCCGCCACCAUAACUGAGCAGAUACUUGGUCGUAUCCUCAAGGGCCACAACAGCUGGGUAACCCAGAUCACCACCACUCCCCAGUUCCCGGACAUGAUACUGUCUUUCUCUUGAGAGAAGACCAUCAUCAUGUGGAAGCUGCCCAGGGAUGAGACUGAUGAUGGCAUCCCUCAGUGUGCCCUUUAGGGUCAUUCCCACUUUGUUGGUGAUGUGGUCAUCUCCUCAGAUGGCCAGUUCACCCUCUCAGUCUCCUGGGAUGGAGCCCUUCAUCUCGGGGAUCUCACAACAGGUACCACGGUACCACCACACGCAGAUUUGUAGGCCAUACCAAGGAUGUGCUGAGUAUGGCCUUCUCUGACAACUGACAAGUUGUCAGUAGCUCCUGAGAUAAAAACAUCAAGCUAUGAAUAAUACUUGGAGUGUAUGCAAAUACACUGUCCAAGAUGAGAGCCAUUCGGAGUGGGUGUCUUGUGUCUGCUUUCCACCCGGUAGCAGCAAUCCCAUCAUUGUCUCCUGUGGCUGGAACAAGCUGGUCAAGGUAUGGAAGCUGGCAAACUGCAAGCUGAAGACCAGUCACAUCGGCCACACGGGCUACCUGAACACUGUGACUGUCUCUCCAGAUGGAUCCCUCUGUGCUUCUGGAGACAAGGAUGGCCAAGCCGUGCUGUGGGGCCUCAAUGAAGGCAAGCACCUUUAUCUGCUAGAUGGUGGGAACAUCAUCAAUGCCCUGCACUUCAGUCUUAACUGAUACUGUCUCUGUGCUGCCCCAGGCACCAGCAUCAAGAUCUGGGACUUGGGAGGCAGGAUCAUUAUAGAGGAACUGAAGUAGGACGUUAUCGGUACCAGCAGCAAGGCAGAGCCCUGCUAGUAUACCUCUCUGGCCUGGUCUGCUGAUGGCCAGACUCUGUUUGCCAGCUACACAGAAAACCUGGUGGGAAGGUGGCAGGUGACCAUGGGCACCCCCUAGAAAUAUAUGGCAGAGUUUUAGAAAUAAAACAUUGGUUUUCUGACUUUAAAAAACAAGCAAAAUUAAAAGGGAAGUCACAGACAUAAUAAACUGAUAAAUAUUUGUCACUUAGAACAUGAAAGGCUAACCUCCCUAACAUAGAGCUCCCCAAAAGAAAAAAGACUAACAGCCUGAUAAACAAAUGGGCAAAAGUAUAAGUUCAUUUAGUUUACAGGAGAAGAAAUACAAGUUACAUUUAAACAUAUAAAAGUAGUUCAGCCUCACUCAUAAAAAAAGAAAUGCAAAUUAAAACUACAUUGAGACACCACCUCUCAUCUAUCAGGUGGAUAAAUAUCCAAAAGUUUGCAUAAUUUUUUUGUCAAGGCUACAGGUAAAAUAGGCAGAACAUUGCUGACAGAAAUGAGAAUGGUACCAGCUCUGCAGAAAGAAUGUUGACAGUAUCUAGCAUAAUUAAUUGUGUAUUUAUCUUUGAUUAAGGAGUCCUACUUCUAGAAAUAUUUGUAUCCUAAAGAUGAACUGGCAAAAAUACAAAAGAAUACAUUUAUUCUUUGUGGCUUUAUUUGCUAUAGCCCAAAAUUGGAAAGAACACAAAUGUCCAUCAGAAAGGGAAUUCUGUGCAGCCCUAAAAAAAAGAAUUCAGUUGGGGGAGGAGAGGUGACAUCAGCAAGAUGGCAGACUAGGAAGCCCUAGAUUUCUUUCCUUCAUGGAGUAUAGAAAUUUAACACAACAAACUUACAAAAUAGAUCUGUAGAAAUCCUGAAACCAGUUCAAAGGUUCCUGCACCCCAGGCUAGCGGGAAGCCAACCAUGUGGAGGCUUGAUAGGAAAUGUGUGACACUUUUUACUCUCUCAUUAGAGCCACUCCCACCCCCACCCCUGCCCAGGGUGGAAUGUUUGGGAGGAAAACCCCAACUCCCACAUUAUCCCUAGAGAGGGAAAGGAGUUGAAUAUACCUCCAACUGACUUUUGGGGGCUGCUGCCUGAGAGAUAGUGUCUUUUUUGCUUGUAUCCAAGUACUGAUAGAAACAGAAUGCCAGGUUGGGCAUCCCUGAGAAGAAUGGCCUGCAUUAGAGUCUGCAGUACCACAGACUGACACUAGAUGGAACCCCAGGACUGGAUUUACUAUAGCCUAGCUGGCUGCAAUAUUAUAGACACAAACUCCUGAGUAGAAGCUCAGGAGCUCCUGAGUAGAAGCCAGCAACCCUCUUCAAACAGGGCAGAUUACCUACAAAAAGCACAUAGAGGACACAUACCCAGAAAAGACUUUUGAGGUCCCCAGAAUCUCUAGCCAGGCCUAGUAGAGAAAGUCAUCCUUGUAUGAAACUAGACCACAAAGUUUGGAGAGUUGGUUGAUUGCUUCAGAUGCCAAAUCCCAACAACAAAAAAUAAGACAUAUGAAGAAACAGCCAACUGUGAUACAUUUAAACUAAUAAAUUAGAUCUAUAGAAAUCAAAUCCUAAAAAAAAGGAGAUAUGAAUUGCCAGAUAAAGAAUUCAAAAUUACCAUCAUAAGGAUACUUAAUUAACUAAAAAGAAAGCAUAGAUAGACAAACAAAAUUAGGAAUAUGAUGCAUGAACAAAAUGAGAAUAUGAACAAAGAGAUAGAAACUAGGAAGAAUGGCCAAACAGAAAUUCUGGAACUGAAGAAUAACAGUACUAAAUUGAAAAUUUAUUGGCAGGACUCAGUGAAUUUGACCAGAUAGAAGAUAGAGUCAGUGAACCUGAACACAGACUUACAAAAAUUACUGAAGCAGAGAAGGCAAAAAUGAAAAAUGAAGAGAGCCCAGGGUUAUGUAUGGACAAGAACAACAACAUACAAAUAUGAGAGUCUCAGAAAGUGAAGAAAGAAAGGAGCAGAGAACCUGUUGAAGAAAUAAUGGCCAAAACUUACUCAAAUUUGAGAAAAGAAAUGGACAUACAAAUUCAAGAAACUUAAAGAAGUAGGAUAAAUCUAAAGAGGCGUACACUGAGACACAUCAUAAACUGUAAAAUGUCACAUGUAAAGUGAGAAUCUUGAAAGCAGCAUGAUUAACUUGUCACAUGCUAUGAAGACCACAAAGAAAAUGUCUAUAGAAUAUACACAAAGGGAAAUGGGAAGUGAAUCAAAACAUGUCACUACAGAAAAAUCAAUGAAACACAAAGCAAGAGAGGAAAAGAGGAACAAAAAGCUAUUAGAAAACAAUGAAUAGGAAUAGUAAGUCUUUUCAUACCAGUAAUUACUUUAAAUGUAAACAGAUUAAACAUACCUAUUAAAAGACAUCGACUGGCUGAGUGGAUUAAAAAAAAAAAAAGCAUGGGGUGGCUGGGUGACUCAGUUGGUCAAAUGUCUGACUCUUGAUUUUGGCUCAGGUCAUGAUCUCAGAGUUGUGAGACUGAGGCCCAUGUCCAACUCUGUGCUGGGUGUGGAGCCUGCUUACGACUCUCUCUCUCCCUCUGCCCCUUGCCCCUAAAAAAACAAACAAAACAUGAUCCAGUUUUGUUCUGCCUAUAAGAGAUGGACAUUAGAUCCAGAUAUAAACAGACUAAAAGUGAAAAGGUGAAAAAAGAUAUUCUAUACAAACAGGAAUCUAAAGAGAUCGAAGUGGCCAUACUUAUAUCAGACAAAAUAGAUAUAUUAAACAAAAGAGACUUUAAGACAAAAACUGCCACAAGAGACAAAGAAGGACAUUGUACCUUGUUUUCACUUAUGGAUAGAACAACCAAGUAGAGGAUCCAUAAGAAAAGAGUAGUCUUCAACAAUACUGUAGACCAACUGGGCUUAACAGAAAUAUGUAUACCACUCCACCCAAUAACAGCAGAAUACACAUUCUUCUCAAGCAAACAUAAAACAAUAUCCCAAAUAGACUACAUGUUAGGUAACAACAGAAUUUGUAACAAAUUUUAGAAGAUUUAAAUUAUAUAUCUUCUAUGAUCAAAAUGGAAUGAAACUGGAAAUAACUAGCAGAAGGAAAACAUGAAAAUCCAAAAUCAUGUGGAAAUUAAAUAACCUAUUCUUUAACAACCAGUGGGUCAAAGAAGAAAUUACAAAGGAAUUUAGGGAAUAUCCAGAGACAAAUGAAAACAAAAACACAACAUACCAAAACUUACGGGGUACAGUGAAAGCAGUACUAAGAGGGAAGUUCAUAGUGACAAGUACCUAGACUUUAAAAAAAUCUCAGCAUAUUCACAUGACUUUAUUUUAUCUCAUUUUAGUUUUGUGAAGAAAAAAAAAAAAAUCAAUGACCUAACUUUAUACCUUAAGGAACUAGAAAAAGGAAACUAAAAAACUAAAAAGUUAGCAGAAAGAAGAAAUAAUAAAGAUUGGAGCAGAGAUAAAUGACAGAAUAGAAAAACAAUAGAAAACAACAAAACCUAGAGUUGGUUUUCUUGAAAAGAUUAACAAAACUGACAAACCCUUAGCUAGAUAAACGAAGAAAACAGAAGAUUCAAAUAUCUAAAGUUAACAGUGAAAGAGGAGACAUUACAACUGAUGUCGCAGAAAUAAGAAAUAAAAGGAACUACAAUGAACGAUUAUAUGCCAACAAAUUAGAAAACUUAGAAGAGAUGGAUGUAUUUCUAGAAACAUCCAACCUACCAAGACUGAAUCAUGAAGAAAUAAAAAAAUCUGAACAAACCUAUAACAAGUGAGGAGCCAGUAAUUAAAGAAUUGAAGCACUAAUCAAAUACUUUUCAACAACAAAAAAGCACAGAACCAGAUGAAUUUAUUGGUGAGUUCUACCAAGCAUUUAGAGAAGAAUUAACAUCAAUUCUUUUUCAAACUCUUCCAAAGAAUUAAGGAGGAGAAGAGACUUCCAAUCAUUCUGUGAGGCAAGAAUGACCCAGGUAUACUGAAACCAGACAAAAACAUGACAGGAAAAGAAAACUAUAGACCAAGGGACAUCUAGGUGGCUCAGUCAGUUAAGCAGCUGCCUUUGGCUCAAGCCAUGAUCCCAGCGUCCUGGAAUCAAGUCCCGCAGUGGGCUUCUUGCUCAGUGGGGAGCCUGCUUCUCUCUCUCUGCCUGUUGCUCCCCCUGCUUGUGCUCUCUCUCUCUCUGACAAGUAAAUAAAUAAAAUCUUAAAAACACACACACACACACACACACACACUAUAGACCAAUAUUCCUCAUGAAUAUUGACAUAAAAGUCCUAAACAAAAUAUGAGGCAAAAUGAAUUCAACAGCACAUUAAAAGGAUCUUGCAUCAUGACUAGGUGGAAUUUACACUUAGAAUGUAAGGAUGGUUCGUCAUAUGAAAAUCAAUUGAUGUUAUAUACCAAAUGGAAAGUGAAGGAAAAAAGACAUGAUUAUCUCAAUCAGCUCAGAAAAAUCAUGUGACAAAAUUCAACAGCCAUGAAAUGGUAAAACACUUAACAAAUUAAGAAAAGAAGGAAACUACCUCAACAUAAUAAAAGCCAUGUAUGAAAAACCCAGAGUUAACAUCAUACUCAGUGGGGAAAGACUCAAAACUUCUCCUCUAAGAUCAAGAACAACGCAGGCAUGCCCAAUUCCACCACUACUGUUCACCAUAGUACUGAAAAUUCUAGCCAGAGCAAUCAGACAAGAAAAAGAAAGGCAUACAAAGAGGAAUUAAAAUUUCCUGUUCACACAUGACAUGUUCUUAAAUGUAGAAAACCCUAAAGAUGCCAUUAAAAAGCUAUUAGGACUAAUAAAAGAAUUUAGCAAAGUUGCAGAAUACAAAAUCUACACUCAAAACUCAGUUGUGUUUCUAUAUACUAACAAUGACCAAUCUAAAAAUGAAAUUUAAAAAAUAAUUCCAUUUACUAUAGCAUCAAAAAGGAUAAAAUACUUAGGAAUAAACUUCACCAAGGAAGUGAAAGACUUGUACACUGAAAACUACAAAACACUGCUAAAGGAAAUCAAAGAAGAUAUGAAUAAAGGGAUGGAUCAGAACUUAAUAUUGUUUAAAUGUGUAUACUAUCCAAAGUCAUCUGCAGGUUCAGUGCAAUCUCUAUCAAAAUCCCAAUGACAUUUUUUGGUUAAAAAAAUAUCCUAAGAUUUGUAUGGAAUCUCAAAGGACGAUGAAUAGCCAAUACAAUCUUGAGAAAGAAGGAGGCCUCACUUCCUGAUUUCAAAACAUACUACAAAGCAACAGUAAUAAAGAUGGUGUGGUCCUGGCAUAAAGAUAGGCAUAUAGACCAACGGAACAAAUGGCCCAGGAAUAAACCCUUGCAUAUAUAGCCAAAUGAUUUUUGACAAGAGUGCCAAGACUAUAUACAGUGGGGAAAGUACAGUCUCUCUUCAGCAAAUGGUUUUAGGAAAACUGGAUACCUACAUGCAAAAGAAUAAAGUUAGACCCUUACCUUAUAACUGCAUGCAAAAAUUAACUCAAAAUGGAUUAAAGACCUAAAUAUAUGAUCUAAAACUCUUAAACUUCUAGAUGAAAACAUAGGGGGCAAGCUUCAGGACAUUGGAUUUAGCAGUGAUUUCUUGGCUAUGACCCCAAAGGAUAGGCAACAAAAUAAAAAAUAGAUAAAUGGGACUUUACCGAACUUAAAAGGUAUUGGUGCGUCAUAUGAAACAAUCAGCAGAGUAAAAAGGCAGCCUCUGGAAUGGGAGCAAAUAAUUGUAAGUUAUAUAUCUGAUAUGGGGUUAAUAUGCAGAAUGUAUAAGGAAAAUCUACAACUCAAGCAACAAUAACAACAAAUAAUCUCAUUAAAAAACAGGCAAAAGAUUUGAACAGACAUUUCUCCCAAGAAUAUAUACAACUGGCCAAUAAACAUAUGAAGAGAUGUUCAAACAGCACUAAUCAUUAGGGAAAUGCAAAUUCCUACAAUGAGAUAUGACUCCAUUAGGAUGGCCAUUAUCAAAAGAAUAGAUAAUACGUGUUCAUGAGGAUAUGGAGAAUUUGGAACUUUUGUGCAGUGUUGGUAGGCAUGGCAUGGUACAGCCAUUAUGGAAAAUAUGGAUGUUCUUAAGAAAGUUAAAAAUAGACUUGUGUGCACACUCUCUCACUCUGACAAAUAAAUAAAAAUCUUUUAAAAAAUACAAUAAAAAGUAAUGUAAAUUUUUAAAGGUGGAAACCAUAUUAAGUUUUUUCAACUUUGACUCACUUUUUUUUUUCACUUUUUUUCACUUGUUUGCACAAGAAAAAAAAUUAGUCCCUCUUGGUUCUUCAGUUUUAAUAUUCAUUGUUGUGUGUAAUUAAUUUCAAACUCUUCCACUAGCUAUAGCCUGCUCUUAAGUUACUCUGUUCUCUUGCUUGAUUAAUCCUUGAAAAACAUAAUUUCUACCCGUAUCUCAGCAACUAAGCAUUUUCAUAUAGUCAGCAUCCAAUGUAACGUAGCAAUUAGAAACCUACCUUCAGAUACUCAGUAAAAAGUCUGUUCUCACAGUGGUAUUUUAAAAGUUUGAUUUGGGUAAACAAUUUAAUAAGGGUCCUUUUGCCUUUGCUUUGUAUUUCCCAUGUUUGGUUUACUUCUCACAUAACAUGUGACUUUCUUUCUUUUUUUAUUAUUUUUUUUAUUUUUAUUUUUUUUAUUCAUUUGAGAGAGAAAGAAUGAGACAGAGAGAGCAUGAGAGGGGGGAGGGUCAGAGGGAGAAGCAGACUCCCCGCCAAGCAGGGAGCCCGAUGUGGGACUUGAUCCUAGGACUCCAGGAUCAUGACCUGAGCCGAAGGCAGUCGCUUAACCAACUAAGCCACCCAGGCACCCAACAUGUGACUUUCUUUGGAAGUUAUCAUUGAGGAUGGGCCCACAAUGGUAACUAGGUGUCAGGGAUUUGCUUCUAUUCAAGUCUUGACAAUACCAGUCAGCUCUCAGAUGAUGGAAAACAUUUAUAUCGUUACUGAGCUUUUAAAUUGCUUUUUGUGGUUCAGGCUUCCUAUACACUUUGAAGAUCAGCUUUUCCUAAAAGUCAGACCUCUCUUGUAGGCAAAGGUGCUUUGUGAGCACUAGCAAAGCCAUGUUGAUUACUUCAUUGGAAGAAAUAUUGCAGUGUGGUUAAGAGCAUUUGCUAGGGAGCCAAAGUGCCUGGGUUCAAAUCCCAGUUUCACCAUUUAGCUGUGUGACCUUGGGCAAGUCACUUAGCCUCUCUAUGCCUCACUUUUACAACUUUAGAGUGGGGCUAACAGUAAUGCCUACCUCAUAAUUUGUUAUGUAUGGAUUAAAUGGAUUAAGAUACAUAAAGUCUAGCACAAAUUGGCAAAAGAUUGGGAAGCAUUGUGUAAGCGUUAAUUGCUUGCCUACCUUCCUUCCCAAAAGGAAUGCUUUUGGCAGGCAGGCACCAUUCGCUUAAAUGAUUUCUCACAUGCCCCUCCCCCCCCAUUAACUGACCCUCAUUCAUUCAUUACCAAGUGGGGAGAAAGAGGGCGAGAGAAAGGAGGGAAAGAAUAAAAGAAAUACAGUCAGUUGGUGACUGCCUCCACCAUUUCGGAGGGCAGAGGAGCUGCUGCAUGUUAACAGUGCCCCUUUGCUACUUGUCUCUGCUCUCCUUCCUGGAUCCUGGAUUUCUUCACAGGAACACACGCAGCCAUCUAGAGGCAAAGCUCUGUUACUAUAUGGUGGGGAAAUGUUAUGGUUUAAAUACCACAUAGAUUGAAUCAGUUACACGUAUACCAUUUUUUUUUAAAGAUUUUUAUUUAUUUAUUUAUUUAUUUAUUUGAGAGAGAGAGAGAAUGAGAGACAGAGAGCAUCAGAGGGAGGAGGGUCAGAGAGAGAAGCAGACUCCCUGCUGAGCAGGGAGCCUGAUGUGGGACUUGAUCCCGGGACUCCAGGAUCAUGACCUGAGCUGAAAGCAGCCGCUUAACCAACUGAGCCACCCAGGUGCCCCACGUAUACCAUUUUUUAACUUUCACCAGACAGACACAGUUUAGCCCAGAUUCCUAAUAACCUUGUUCAACCUAGAGAUUAGUCAGUACUUUGGUUCCAUUCCUUUUGGAUUUUUCUUGCUGACCUCAAGGCCUUUUUGUUCUGAGUUAAAACCUGUGAUCGCUGAAGCUAUCUGAAUAAUAAUUGAUUUGAUUUUGAUAGUCAUGACAAAUAUUUCUUGCCAUCUUAUCUGGUUUUUCUAAACAAGAUCCCGUGUCUUCACUUCUAUACUGUUUUCAAAAUGCAGAUCUCCUUAAAGAACUUUAUCUCCUGCUUUUGUCUAUCUUACUUCUAGCUACUGCUUUCAAAUGGGUUACAGAACUAGUGGGGAGGUUCUUCCAGGUCUCGUUAUCUUUUCAAUACAAAUGUUACCAUAUUUAAUACAAAUGUGAAUUUGUUCCUGCCCCGUCUUCUCAAAACUAUAUAUUUUAUGGAGCUUUUUGCCCUCUUCCUUCAUUGAUUCCAUUGUCUCUUCCCAAUUCCCUACCUCUUGACAGGAUAUCAGUGUGAAUUUGCACUAAUUUUUCUUCUUUAUCUACACCUUUGUUCUUUAUGGCUACAUAAUAGAUCAUUUAAUAAUUUUUUCCUAUAUUGCUGGUGUGAUUUUAGUUUCUUAUUCAUGAGAAUGAAGAAAAGAGCUUUCAUUAAGAUAAUAAAUUUCAAAUCAAGAAUUGGGAGUGAUGAUUGCUCCUGCCUGAGUUUAAUUCUUUCUCACCUGUACUUGAAUAGAGGAUAAGAUACUUUUGCUUCUAUUUAUUAGAAAUUCUUUUGGGAGAGGCACCUGAGUGGCUCAGUAGGUUAAGCAUCUGCCUUCGGCUCAGGUCAUGAUCCCAGGGUCCUGGAAUUGAGCCCCGUAUCUGGCUCCUUGCUUGGUGGGGAGCCUUCUUCUCCUUCUCUGCCUGCUGCUCCCCCUGCUUGUGCGCGCUCUCUCUCUCUCUCUCGCUAUCUCCCUCUCUGUCAAAUAAAUAAAUCUUCAAAAAAAAUUCUUUUGGGGAGUGACUAAAUUGAGGGGACCUUUAUUGUUUUGCUAUUUAGCUAUUACUUUGAAGGGUUGAAAGUCACCCUUUCAAACACCCUUUCAAACGCACCAGAGUGUUUGAAAUUUUAAAAUAGAUUAUACAUUCAGCAGACAUAUGCCAAGUGCUUAUUGUAUUCCAAGUACUGUGCUAGGCACUGGGAAUAAAAAGAAUAUGACAUGACCUCUGACUCUAGAGGACUUAAUCAUGAUGAGACACUGUAGUGUGAUGCAGAGAGUCUUAGCUUUGGAAUCAGCACAUCCAACUCUGCCUCUUACUAGAAUAUAACAAAGAGCAAGUUGUCUUAAUCUCUCUGAGAUGGUUUUCUCUUUUGUAAAAUGAGGGAGUUGGCCUAAAUAUCUCUUAAAAUCUUGCCUACAUCUGACUUUCUGUCAUUGCAGAAUGGAAUGUUUUAAGGUUACUUAAGGCUGGUGUGAGGAUCAAAUAAGAAAAAAAAUUAUGAAAGCACUUUAAAAACUAUUAAGUGUUGUCUAAACAAAGACAUUACUAAUUACUUACUAAUUUGACAUUAUUUACUAAUGCUUUUGGCCCAAAGACCAGAUGUAUUAGGUGUUAUAAAUAAGUUCCAGAUGUUUAAGGAAAAGGGUGACCUUUUCAUGAUUUUGGCUCUGAGUUCUAGGGUUAUUUAAGGGUAUGUAAUUAUCACCAUUAUUGACUAAAGUAGGUACUCUGUAAAUGUGCAUUGAUUUAAACCAUAGGUUUUGAAACUCAGUGUAAUUAUAAGGUAAAUCACAAUUCCUGUGGUUUGGAGUUAUCUCUUCCAUAUUAGCCCCACACAGGGCUUGAUCUCAGGACCCUGAGAUUAUGACCUGAGCUGAAAUCAAGAGUCGGAGGCUUAACCGACUGAGCCAUCCAGGUGCCCCUGCAUUAUGAUUCUUGAAAUUCUGGGUUAAUAGGUAAUUGUUCAUCACUAUGAAAUAAUUGUAUUUAUGCAAAUAUGACUGCAUAUUUACAGCUUGCCCUAGGACUGCUGUGUUUAAACGUAGAGUAUAUGUCAACUUUGGGUCAGUUUUCUUUGGCUUUUUGUCCACUAUACUUUCAAGUAUAUGACAUAUACUGGACCUUCAAAUUUUAUGGGUUCUUUAAAAAGUAUACCUAUCUUUUUCUAGGUUCGUAGAUUGUAAGAACCCCUGAUAAUAGGCAGAAGGACUGAGCCCAUAAGCCAAUUCAAAAAGUUGAAUCAGUAAUUAUGUUUUAAUUAUUAUUAUAGAUGUUUAUUCUCAGAUCUAAGUAAUAGUUUCAGCUCGCUGAAAUUUUUUAUUGCUAAGCAUUACGAUUAUCACUUGUCUGUUCUUCAGAAGUUUUCAUAAUGUAUACCCUUAUCUUUUGUUUGGCUUGUUUAUAAUUACUGCUAGAUAAUUUAGUGUUGAAAUGGUGAGACUUUCACUAAAAGCUGUUUCUCAAGUAAAAUUCUGAAUAUAUUUUCAUUUGCAAAGUUACUGGCAAUAAAGAGUAAUAACUAUUGCUUAUUUAAUCUGUUAGCAUUUAAGCCUACAUUAAGUUUAUGUUUAUGACUGUAUGAUUAUAAAUUUGAUUUACCUUCAGCUUUUGAAGAAUAAAACCAUAACCCUGUUUUACUGGUAAAUUCAUAUACCUAAUGACGCAUGCCUUUUAUAUAUGCUAGGAAAAUGGUGUUCAUUGUUAAAGUUAGAAUUGAGUUAGUCAACCAGAAGCGGGAACCUCUAAUUGUUUCCAGAUGCAUACUUUUUGGGUUUGGAUGCAACUCUAAGUGUUAGCUCAGUCAGGAAUUUGCUAAGCUUGUCUUUUUCCCCAUAUCCUUUCAUUAUGGGUAGAUAGAUCCAUGCUAAAAUCUCUUUUAUGAUUUCCCAUUACGAUAGUUAAUCAGAAAAAUAUGGACACAAACUCCUAAGCUAAACACAAUUUUAAAAGGCAAAAAUAAAGUUUCUGCAGGUUUCUUUUACAUUUUAUGAUCUUUGAAAUUGUUAUAGAAAUUGACCUUGGUUCUAAAUUGCUGUAUCACCAUGCGACUUAGCAAGCACCUUUCUCCUUCCACCACAGUUUCAUAACCCUCUUACAGAUAUAGCUGAAAUCCUUACAUAAUUUCAGAGUUACUGUUAGACAAAAUUAGUGUGACACAUCAGUGUGCUUUGGUGAAAUGUUUGCUGCUGUUGAAUGUAAGCAUUUUAUUAAAAUUCCACUGAAGCAGGCAACCAUUUUGAAUUUUAUAAUCUAGCAAAAUCAGUAAAUACGUCAUUGACCCUUACCAAAAAAAUACACUGUUCUAAUUAUUUCCUUAUAUCAAUUAUGAUACCUUUUAAGUUAUUUUAUUUUAUUUUAUUUUAUUUUAUUUUAUUUUUUUAAAGAU